UGAGGAGCUUGCGUUCAAGGGAGAAGGGAGACGAUGCUAGGGGGUGCGGCUCGUCUGUAAACACAGAUAAUCAGAGUGGAACAUAAUAGACUUAGUAGAGACGUAUUUGCUGAACUGAAUUGAUCCCACAGUCUGCCUUCUCCAUGCUGAGAGCUGGGGAUUCAGACAUAAACAUGGCUUGUUUUCUGCCCUUGCACAAUCUAGGGGUACACUGACCUGUACUCAGAACGAUGUGAUCAGUACCCAUCAGAGUGGGGAGGGCCUGGUUGACCUCUGUGCCUAGUAGGAAUGCAGUGAGGAGGGAAGGCUUCCCAGAGGAGAUGUUAUGCAUGUUGGGCCCUGAAGGAUGAGCAGGAGUUAACCUAGUGGACAAGGAUGGAGGAAGAUUUCAGGAACGGCCAGUAACACCGACUUAGGGUAACUCAAAGUCCAUGGAUUCUUUCAAUCCCUGGAGUCUGACUCUUUUGAGUGGUUUCUUCUAGAUCAAGAAAAUUUCCUGGAUUCAUAGAAUCUCAAGUUGGACAGAAACUUAAAAGCUCCCAUAGCUGAGUGUGCAUGUCUACCAAGCUGCCGGGGAGUCUCUGCAUACGUCCCUCUGAUACUGGGCGCUCACUACCCCGUGAGACCGUGAAUUCAUGUGGACGGCUCGGUGUGCUAGCAAGUCUUCUGUUGAGCAGGAAUCUAUUUCCUUGUUUAUUUCACUCACUGAUCCUGAUUUUCUCCCUCGGAUUGAUUUAGGACAAAUUUCAAUCUUUAUGGAAUCAUGAGGAGCUGACACGUAGCAGAAAUGGGAGCAGUGGGCUUCCUUUCCCUCUGCUGCUCAGACCAAUCUGCAGGCAGCUCUUGGGCACCAGUCUCCUCCCCAGGGCAGCCGCCUGGGCCAGACCACCGCCUGAGGCCCGCAGCCCGGAGGAAGGAGGGGCUGUGGCAGGGCAGACACCGGAGUGACGGAUACGGAUGUGCCCAGCCUGGCACACGGAACCGGCGGGCCUUCUGAAAGGCUGAAGCCUACUCUUGCCUAAAUGACACAGAAAAGGGCUUGACUCCUUCAUGACUGGUGUCGACGUGACGAAGGAAGAAUCCUUUCCAUCACACCAGCUGCCUCUGUCUCAGUGCCUUUCGGAUGCCACCUGCACUGACCCAACUCCCAUUUCCUGCGGGCGCUGCUCUCCCCUCUCCGUCUCUGGCCUCUCCCUUGCUGUCCGGGGAAACUUCUUGAGCUCCUGACUUGAUAAUUGGAAAUUUGAUGUGUUCAUGCCUUUAUUUAGUCCAGUAUUAUGACUUUUACUUUUAUAAUCAUGGUUUGAAUGUCCAAGAACUGUCGCUUUUCACCACGACUUAUUAUUCUGUGUAUGUGUGUGAUCAUCUUGACUCUUUCUGAGAAUAUUGUUAUUCUAACUGUGUCUUCCGUUUCCCCUGUGGGUGCUGUCCCCCGGGGGCUGAUCCGUCCCGCGGGCUUAGGGCCUGUCUUCCACAUCGUUUCCUCGGCGGUCCGGUGGCUUGGGCUGCCUGUUCACAUUUGCGCCGGAGGGUCUCCAUGUGUUUCUCACGGGCUCCUCAUGUCUUGGAUGGUGAUUUUUCUCUGUACUUGUUUCUCUGUCACCUCAGUCCCUUCUGCUUUCCAUCUGCCAGCAAUUCCUCAAAAUUUCUGGUCUGCUAGCAUCACUUAUCUUCCCUCCUUUCUUUUCUCCCUCUCUCCCUCCCUUCCUUCCAAUUUUCAGUUCUGGUUCACAUAGGCCUGCCCCCUCCUCCCCUCUUCCCCCCCAGCUCCCCCACCCCUCCU